GGGAGAGGAGGGUUGAGAAUGAAUCUGAGCUUUUCCUUCUAAGUCUUUGGAUUUUGAGUAGCCCAAGAUGGCUCUCUUCACCACCAUGUUCUGAAGCAGGGGUGACUAUUUCUCUUCCUGAGGUUGGGGAGCUGAGUAUCACAGUUAGGCAACGGUGGGCCAUGCGCUGGUGAAAUGGAUCAAACAUACAGGCCACGAGGGAAAGCAGGAACAGGCCACAGACAGUCAGACCCAAGGCACAUGCUAUUUUCUGCCUUACUGAAAAGAUGAAACAUAGCUGUAUCCUGGCCGCUUCAACUGGCGGGAAAUGAAAAGUACAGAAAACCCAUCUACAAGAAGUAAAAUCAACAAGCACAAAGGGAGACAGAGGAAAGCUCUGGAGAAGAGCCCUCCUUGAUGUGAGCACAAGGGACCUCCAUGCUCCUACUUCUGCUGGUCUCCAUUUCACCAGGCGCCUCCCUCCGACUUCCAAUUGGCCACAAGCUUCGUCGCUCUCUCUCAAAGCAAUUUUGUGUGUGAGUAUAGUCAGAAGGACUUUCAAGCCCCAGUGAGCAAAGAGGGAACCUCACUUUUACACGAGGUGACCUUUGCACAGGCAGCCAUCGAUGCUCUGAAGAUACAAAGAGAGCCCCUCCAUCAGGUCAUCUUCCUAACUCAACUCAGCCACAGGAGUAAGAAAAUACAUCAAGCUCAAUGCAAACUGUGAGCUCAGAAAAUCUGGUUACUAAUUUUAUUUCCUGUCUUUGAUGAUCUGUCUCUGGAAUAAAGCUCUUGAUAUUUCUGUGCCAUGAGAUUGUUGUAAAACAUCUGCCAUUCAGACCGCUGUAUUGGUUUUUAAAAACGUAACAAACACAGAAUGGCUGCUAUCACUCUCUGUUCCCUGUCCCUACCCACAAUGUCUCAGAGCAGUACAAACCGACCAGCACUGGAUUUUCUCUGUCUGGGUCCAUCAUCAAUGGCACUUCUGAGUUCCUCUAGAUCUAGCAGCUACCACCUGACCAAAGCUAUUGGAUCAAGAUCCCUGAUUGGUGGACAUCCUAUUGGUGAUCUUCCAAGGCACUUGAUAUGUGUGUGCCACCCAAUCGCCAACACAGACAGCUUGCAUUUUCCACAGAAGAGAACUAAGGUGAGACUCCAAACCCCAAGCAGGUGACCUGAGCAAAGACACUGUCGGUCUAAAACUAUAACAGAAUAGGUGGCAUCUGUUAGAAAGAUAGGCUUUACAAAAGUACUGCGGUUUAUUAUGUUUUAAAUAUCUAAGUUAAGAGGUUUAAAGUCAAACACACACAAGAGUAGUCAGGUUGCACACUGACCACAACAAUAAAAACUGUGGGCGGCAGUCAUUUUUCUAUACAGGAAGCUCUAGAAAGUUAUGUUUCUAAUAAUCUUAUUUCCAGCCUCCACCAAUUCUCCAUCCAAACCUCUAAAUCUGAAUAAGGAAAAAUAACUCAGAGCAGUUGUUUCCAAAGAAUUUACUGCCCCUGGAUUUUGAGGAUCAUUAAUGAUGUUCAUUUGCAAAUGACUUGCCUUUCGCUUGGGACUCAGCCUGGCAGUGUGAUGGAGGGCAACCUGUAUCAGAUUUUGAAAAUUAGUCUUUCCCAGGUGAGUCUUAUACACCCUGAAGUGGGGGACACCACCAAUGUGGUGGGAGAAUGCCACAGGUGAUGAGAGAGAAAACAGGAAUCAG
rnacentral:lncRNA from 1 species